GAUGAACGCUGGCGGCGUGCCUAAUACAUGCAAGUCGAGCGAACGGACGAGAAGCUUGCUUCUCCGAUGUUAGCGGCGGACGGGUGAGUAACACGUGGAUAACCUACCUAUAAGACUGGGAUAACUUCGGGAAACCGGAGCUAAUACCGGAUAAUAUUUUGAACCGCAUGGUUCAAAAGUGAAAGACGGUCUUGCUGUCACUUAUAGAUGGAUCCGCGCUGCAUUAGCUAGUUGGUAAGGUAACGGCUUACCAAGGCAACGAUGCAUAGCCGACCUGAGAGGGUGAUCGGCCACACUGGAACUGAGACACGGUCCAGACUCCUACGGGAGGCAGCAGUAGGGAAUCUUCCGCAAUGGGCGAAAGCCUGACGGAGCAACGCCGCGUGAGUGAUGAAGGUCUUCGGAUCGUAAAACUCUGUUAUUAGGGAAGAACAUAUGUGUAAGUAACUGUGCACAUCUUGACGGUACCUAAUCAGAAAGCCACGGCUAACUACGUGCCAGCAGCCGCGGUAAUACGUAGGUGGCAAGCGUUAUCCGGAAUUAUUGGGCGUAAAGCGCGCGUAGGCGGUUUUUUAAGUCUGAUGUGAAAGCCCACGGCUCAACCGUGGAGGGUCAUUGGAAACUGGAAAACUUGAGUGCAGAAGAGGAAAGUGGAAUUCCAUGUGUUGCGGUGAAAUGCGCAGAGAUAUGGAGGAACACCAGUGGCGAAGGCGACUUUCUGGUCUGUAACUGACGCUGAUGUGCGAAAGCGUGGGGAUCAAACAGGAUUAGAUACCCUGGUAGUCCACGCCGUAAACGAUGAGUGCUAAGUGUUAGGGGGUUUCCGCCCCUUAGUGCUGCAGCUAACGCAUUAAGCACUCCGCCUGGGGAGUACGACCGCAAGGUUGAAACUCAAAGGAAUUGACGGGGACCCGCACAAGCGGUGGAGCAUGUGGUUUAAUUCGAAGCAACGCGAAGAACCUUACCAAAUCUUGACAUCCUUUGACAACUCUAGAGAUAGAGCCUUCCCCUUCGGGGGACAAAGUGACAGGUGGUGCAUGGUUGUCGUCAGCUCGUGUCGUGAGAUGUUGGGUUAAGUCCCGCAACGAGCGCAACCCUUAAGCUUAGUUGCCAUCAUUAAGUUGGGCACUCUAAGUUGACUGCCGGUGACAAACCGGAGGAAGGUGGGGAUGACGUCAAAUCAUCAUGCCCCUUAUGAUUUGGGCUACACACGUGCUACAAUGGACAAUACAAAGGGCAGCGAAACCGCGAGGUCAAGCAAAUCCCAUAAAGUUGUUCUCAGUUCGGAUUGUAGUCUGCAACUCGACUACAUGAAGCUGGAAUCGCUAGUAAUCGUAGAUCAGCAUGCUACGGUGAAUACGUUCCCGGGUCU
rnacentral:rRNA from 1 species